GCAGCCAGUCGUGCGUCAAGGACGACACCGUAAUGGUGUGGUACCAAAGCGGAUACGGCCGCUUCGGUUUCACCCCUACUCACGGAGUGAGGCUUCAUGUUGACAUGUUGUCAUCUUUCGUAAAACUGGAGGAGUUAACCAGGAACAGUUUUCUCCAUAACAUUGCUUUUGAUAAGCUCAAAUUGUAGAUUAAAUGGCUCGUUGGCGUUUCAUGCUGCUACUGAUUAUUCUCUUGUUGAACGUCGUUUUGCCAUUUUCUUCAGCAUCACAGAAUGUAACUGAAGCAGAAGCUUAUGGUGCUGGGAAUAUUAGAGAUGAUCAGUUCGGCAUAACGAUUCUUAGAAUCCUUAAAACUGUUGGUGUUGCACUUGGAGUUGCAUUGGUUGUUACUUUUAUAGCACCGAUAGUUAUUUACUUCCUACUCUGCUGUAUCGGAUUUACCUGUUCUGGCGUUCGGGCAAAUUCGUAUGCUGCAGUCCGUCAAUCAGACUACGGUGAUGUGGAAGCUGGAAGUUGUUUUUCUUGUGCACAAAGUAUGGGCGCUUGUGGUAGCAUGGGAAGGAACGUCUUGAUCGGCCUAAUAUUUGGUAUUCUUGCUGGUGCUAUUGCAGGCUAUUAUGCUUGGUUUUAUUUUCUUUGAAUUGGAUAAAAUUAAAGCGUGUGCAUUUUGUGAUAUGAUGGAAUAUGUGGAUUUGUAUUGGAAUAAUAUGAACUUUGUAAUAAAUGUGACAUUUGCUCCUCCA
rnacentral:misc_RNA from 1 species